rnacentral:tRNA from 1 species
GAAGCGUUAGUCUAAAAAGACGGUUGAUUUCGACUCAACAAAUUAUGGUUCAACCCCAUAACCCUUC